rnacentral:rRNA from 1 species
GAUGAACGCUGGCGGCGUGCCUAAUACAUGCAAGUCGAGCGAACGGACGAGAAGCUUGCUUCUCUGAUGUUAGCGGCGGACGGGUGAGUAACACGUGGAUAACCUUCUUAUAAGUCUGGGAUAACUUCGGGAAACCGGAGCUAAUACCGGAUGAUAUUUUGAACCGCUUGGUUCAAAAGUGAAAGACGGUCUUGCUGUCACUUAUAGCUGGUUCCGCGCUGCAUUAGCUAGUUGGUAAGGUAACGGCUUACCAAGGCAACGAUGCAUAGCCGACCUGAGAGGGUGAUCGGCCACACUGGAACUGAGACACGGUCCAGACUCCUACGGGAGGCAGCAGUAGGGAAUCUUCCGCAAUGGGCGAAAGCCUGACGGAGCAACGCCGCGUGAGUGAUGAAGGUCUUCGGAUCGUGAAACUCUGUUAUUAGGGAAGAACAUAUGUGUAAGUAACUGUGCACAUCUUGACGGUACCUAAUCAGAAAGCCACGGCUAACUACGUG